rnacentral:rRNA from 1 species
UACGUUCCCGGGCCUUGUACACACCGCCCGUCACACCACGAAAGCGGGCAACACCCGAAGCCGGUGGCCUAACCCUUACGGGAGGGAGCCGCCGAAGGUGGGAUUGGUGAUUGGGGUG